rnacentral:rRNA from 1 species
GACGAACGCUGGCGGCGUGCCUAAUACAUGCAAGUAGAACGCUGAAGGAGGAGCUUGCUUCUCUGGAUGAGUUGCGAACGGGUGAGUAACGCGUAGGUAACCUGCCUGGUAGCGGGGGAUAACUAUUGGAAACGAUAGCUAAUACCGCAUAAUAGUAGAUGUUGCAUGACAUUUGCUUAAAAGGUGCAAUUGCAUCACUACCAGAUGGACCUGCGUUGUAUUAGCUAGUUGGUGGGGUAACGGCUCACCAAGGCGACGAUACAUAGCCGACCUGAGAGGGGGAUCGGCCCCACUGGGACUGAGACACGGCCCAGACUCCUACGGGAGGCAGCAGUAGGGAAUCUUCGGCAAUGGACGGAAGUCUGACCGAGCAACGCCGCGUGAGUGAAGAAGGUUUUCGGAUCGUAAAGCUCUGUUGUAAGAGAAGAACGAGUGUGAGAGUGGAAAGUUCACACUGUGACGGUAUCUUACCAGAAAGGGACGGCUAACUACGUG